rnacentral:rRNA from 1 species
UACGGAGGAUCCAAGCGUUAUCCGGAUUUAUUGGGUUUAAAGGGUGCGUAGGCGGCUUAUUAAGUCAGGGGUGAAAGACGGUGGCUCAACCAUCGCAGUGCCUUUGAUACUGAUGAGCUUGAAUGAACUAGAGGUAGGCGGAAUGUGACAAGUAGCGGUGAAAUGCAUAGAUAUGUCACAGAACACCGAUUGCGAAGGCAGCUUACUAUGGUUUUAUUGACGCUGAGGCACGAAAGCGUGGGGGAUCAAACAGG